AUUGGUUCCUCUUUGCGCUCUCGCGUCUGCCAGUACGCGUGCGCAACACAAUUUCCUCUUCGUUCUCUCUGUCUGCCAGUACGCGUGCGCAACACAAUUUCUCCACACACAAUUUCGCCCGCCCCUCCCUUCCCCAGAUACUGUUCCUCUUUGCUCUUCCUCCACACACAAUUUCUCUCCUCUCCUCUUCCCCAAAACGCCGCCAGCAACUCAGCUCGCCCUGCUUCGCCCGCGUCUCCGCGGUCUCCACUCUGCUCUGCUUGUGAUGGCCGCCGUGCCCACUCCUGUGACGUGCCGAUCUGGCGGCGGCACGGCCGGGCGCGAUGUGGAGAGCCGGCGGGCGAUGGUGGUCGCGCAAGCCCGUGGAGGACGGGAUCACACCCAUUCUGCGCUGCUCUUCCCACCCCACCACCGCAGGCAGGCGCUCUUGCCCCUGCUCCUGUCGUCUCGUCUUCCUCGGCCAUCGCCGAGACCAAUCAAGAUGGCGUUCGUCGUGGCGAAGGGGGUCAAGAUGGAAGCCGCCACUGCCGCAACGACAACCACCACCUCCGAUUCUUGUUCUCGUGUGUCCGUCCAGGAGGACGAGAAAACAAAGGAGGAGGGGAAAGGUCGUCUACAGGGGUAGGAGGCAGGGAUAAGGUAGGAAGAUAGCUCGGCCAGACCGCCAACACCCCGGCCGCGGCUUCUGUCGGACGCCAUCCCCUUCAUCUUUCCCCUACCCUUGAAUCGAACAGGCAAGGUAGGUGUGUCCUAAAAUAUGAUGUUUUCUCUAUUGGGACUUAUCCCUUUCGUUGUUCCCACUUUUCAGGAAGUAGUAUGGAUGCAGUUUGCUUAGCUUUGCAUCUGUACUCUUAUGCUUUUCAAGUCAUUCUAUUGGGUUGCAGCUUGUAGGGUGGAACCAUAAUUUGGCAUGGUUGCUUCUAAGUUUUGAUUGGUCGAUUUGCUGAUGUCUUCGCUCUAUGUGUCCAGGUUAAAGUUCAAUCCUGCAUAAUUGUCAGUUUGUGAAGUCUACCAAAAACUCUUGCCCAUGAUAGAUGUAAGAAGUGCAUAAUUGAUUGAUGGAUCUGUUAGUUUGAUAGUUUUUUUAGCGUUGCACCUUUCUCUUCUACAAAUUGCAGAUGUGCUCACAGUUUUGUGUGUUUAGUUUAGGAGUUGGUCCUUGCGAAGCACAAAUAAAACAUUAUUGGCAAGCUAGUGCAGUUUUGUUACUUCCAGGUAUCUACAAUUGAGUGGAUGAAGGAAUAUUUUUUACCAGGACGAAUUAUAAUGUCUUUGAAACAGAUGUUGUUCUCAUGAUCUUGCCUUUUAAUUGUUUGACCACCCAAAAUUUGGCAUGGAAACUACAGAGGUACUAUGUAUUGUUGUAUUAGUUCUGCCGGAUUUAGAGGUGUAUAAAUGUGCAUUAGUUCUUCCGGAUUCAAAUGAUACUUUGUACUGAUGUAUAUUUUCUGAAGAUGAACUUAAGUGUAUCAUAUAUAUAUAUAUAUAUAUCUUUAUUUUUUGACACAUUCCCAUUAUGUUAAUCCCCCCCCCCACACACAAAUACCGUGCUAUAUAUCUUAUGAGAUAUCCAAUAGCAAUACUAAUAUUUUGUGCUGCUGUCAUUUCAGUCUGCAUAGUCAUUAUCAAAAUCGGUGUUGCCAUAUCAUUACUACUUUGGCUAAUUCAACGAUCCACUUUCAAGUUCUUUGGUGUCCAGCUGAACAUGUGGUUAUCUUACAUCUUGGUAUGUCCAUAGGAUACGGUCAUCCUGAUACUCGAUGCAUUGUACUGUGACCGCGACUAUGCCAAGUUCUUCGUGCUCGAGACCAUCGCGAGGGUGCAGUAUUUCGGAAAUGUCAUCUGACGACGAAAAAGAUUUCAUUAUGUGCGAACAUUGUGAAGACCAGCGC